rnacentral:rRNA from 1 species
CACACAUUUGAGGCACACUUACUGAAGCUACAGAUGUACCGAUGCAAUUUGACAUGAUACUAUCCAUCUUCUUGUUUAAGAUGUCAAUCUGAGCCGCCAUGCUAUCAUUUGCAGACACAUUGUACACACCAGGAUGUGGUGGUGCUAUUGCUCUUUCACUUGACCAUUGGAAAUGAUGAGACGCCAUACUUUCAAUCAAUGCAAAUGCUUCAUCAAGGUUUUUGUUCAUGAUUCCUCCUC